rnacentral:rRNA from 1 species
UACGUAGGGCGCAAGCGUUGUCCGGAAUUAUUGGGCGUAAAGAGCUCGUAGGCGGUCUGUCGCGUCUGCUGUGAAAACUCAGGGCUUAACCCUGAGCUUGCAGUGGGUACGGGCAGACUAGAGUGCGGUAGGGGAGACUGGAAUUCCUGGUGUAGCGGUGAAAUGCGCAGAUAUCAGGAGGAACACCGAUGGCGAAGGCAGCUCACUGGGACGGUACUGACGCUGAGACGCGAAAGCGUGGGGAGCAAACAGG